rnacentral:tRNA from 1 species
UGCAUCGGCCGGGAACCGAACCCGGACGCCCGCGUGGCAGGCGAGCAUUCUACCACUGAACCACCGAUGC